AAUGGGCGCAAGCCUGACGGAGCAAACCGCGUGGGGAGGAAGGCCUUUGGGUUGUAAACCUCUUUUGUUUGGGAAGAAGAGCUGACGGUACCUGUGGAAUCAGCAUCGGCUAACUCCGUGCCAGCAGCCGCGGUAAUACGGAGGAGGCAAGCGUUAUCCGGAUUUAUUGGGCGUAAAGCGUCCGCAGGUGGUCAAGUCUGCUGUUAAAGCGGGAGCUUAACUCCAGUAACAGGCGUGGAAACUGCUCCGCUAGAGUCCGGUAGGGGUUGGGGAAUUCCCGUGUAGCGGUGAAAUGCGUAGAUCUUGGGAAGAACACCGGUGGUGAAAGCGCUCUACUGGACGGCAACUGACACUCAUGGACGAAAGCUAGGGGAGCGAAUGGGAUUA
rnacentral:rRNA from 1 species